rnacentral:rRNA from 1 species
ACCCGACUGCUAUCAGAGUGGGACUAAGCCAUGCGAGUCGACAUAGCAAUAUGCGGCAUACGGCUCAGUAACACGUAGUCAACAUGCCCAGGGGACGUGGAUAACCUCGGGAAACUGAGGAUAAACCGCGAUAGGUCAUCACUUCUGGAAUGGGUAAUGACUUAAACCUAUAUGGCCCCUGGAUUGGACUGCGGCCGAUCAGGCUGUUGGUGAGGUAAUGGCCCACCAAACCUGUAACCGGUACGGGCUCUGAGAGGAGGAGCCCGGAGAUGGGCACUGAGACAAGGGCCCAGGCCCUAUGGGGCGCAGCAGGCGCGAAACCUCUGCAAUAGGCGAAAGCUUGACAGGGUUACUCUGAGUGAUUUCCGUUAAGGAGAUCUUUUGGCACCUCUAAAAAUGGUGCAGAAUAAGGGGUGGGCAAGUCUGGUGUCAGCCGCCGCGGUAAUACCAGCACCCCGAGUGGUCGGGACGUUUAUUGGGCCUAAAGCAUCCGUAGCCGGUUCUACAAGUCUUCCGUUAAAUCCACCUGCUUAACAGAUGGGCUGCGGAAGAUACUAUAGAGCUAGGAGGCGGGAGAGGCAAGCGGUAUUCGAUGGGUAGGGGUAAAAUCCGUUGAUCCAUUGAAGACCACCAGUGGCGAAGGCGGCUUGCCAGAACGCGCUCGACGGUGAGGGAUGAAAGCUGGGGGAGCAAACCGGAUUAGAUACCCGGGUAGUCCCAGCUGUAAACGAUGCAGACUCGGUGAUGAAUUGGCUUAUUGCUAAUUCAGUGCCGCAGGGAAGCCGUUAAGUUUGCCGCCUGGGGAGUACGGUCGCAAGACUGAAACUUAAAGGAAUUGGCGGGGGAGCACCACAAGGGGUGAAGCCUGCGGUUCAAUUGGAGUCAACGCCGGAAAUCUUACCGGGGGCGACAGCAGAGUGAAGGUCAAGCUGAAGACUUUACCAGACAAGCUGAGAGGAGGUGCAUGGCCGUCGCCAGCUCGUGCCGUGAGGUGUCCUGUUAAGUCAGGUAACGAGCGAGAUCCCUGCCUCUAGUUGCUACCAUUAUUCUCAGGAGUAGUGGAGCUAAUUAGAGGGACCGCCGUCGCUGAGACGGAGGAAGGUGGGGGCUACGGCAGGUCAGUAUGCCCCGAAACCCUCGGGCCACACGCGGGCUGCAAUGGUAAGGACAAUGAGUUUCGAUUCCGAAAGGAGGAGGCAAUCUCUAAACCUUACCACAGUUAUGAUUGAGGGCUGAAACUCGCCCUCAUGAAUAUGGAAUCCCUAGUAACCGCGUGUCACUAUCGCGCGGUGAAUACGUCCCUGCUCC